rnacentral:rRNA from 1 species
GAUGAACGCUGGCGGCGUGCCUAAAACAUGCAAGUCGAGCGAACGGACGAGAAGCUUGCUUUUCUGAUGUUAGCGGCGGACGGGUGAGUAACACGUGGAUAACCUACCUAUAAGACUGGGAUAACUUCGGGAAACCGGAGCUAAUACCGGAUAAUAUUUUGAACCGCAUGGUUCAAAAGUGAAAGACGGUCUUGCUGUCACUUAUAGAUGGAUCCGCGCUGCAUUAGCUAGUUGGUAAGGUAACGGCUUACCAAGGCAACGAUGCAUAGCCGACCUGAGAGGGUGAUCGGCCACACUGGAACUGAGACACGGUCCAGACUCCUACGGGAGGCAGCAGUAGGGAAUCUUCCGCAAUGGGCGAAAGCCUGACGGAGCAACGCCGCGUGAGUGAUGAAGGUCUUCGGAUCGUAAAACUCUGUUAUUAGGGAAGAACAUAUGUGUAAGUAACUGUGCACAUCUUGACGGUACCUAAUCAGAAAGCCACGGCUAACUACGUG